rnacentral:rRNA from 1 species
UACGUAGGGUGCAGGCGUUAAUCGGAAUUACUGGGCGUAAAGCGUGCGCAGGCGGUCUGCUAAGACAGGUGUGAAAUCCCCGGGCUUAACCUGGGAACUGCGCUUGUUACUGGCAGGCUUGAGUGUGGCAGAGGGGGGUGGAAUUCCACGUGUAGCAGUGAAAUGCGUAGAGAUGUGGAGGAACACCGAUGGCGAAGGCAGCCCCCUUGGCUAACACUGACGCUCAUGCACGAAAGCGUGGGGAGCAAACAGG